AUUUAUAUAAUAUAAAAAUUAUAUUUGACUUCCAAUCAAAAUAUCUAGAAUCCUAGUAUAAAUA
rnacentral:tRNA from 1 species